AUCCUUUGCCUGGGUUUGCUGUGUCCCAUGGCCACCCAGGGUCCUCCCGCCUGGAGGCUGGGUCCUGCGGGGACGGGGAGAGAGCCCCGCUGGCCACACUGGGGCUGCCUCUCACCGUGGCUGACUCCGCCUGGAUCCCUCAUCUGUCAGGUACGGUUCUAGGCCCUGGGAAUCCACUGAUGAAGGAGGCAGAUAAAGACCGCUGGAGGCAGGAAGGCCAGAUUCUGGAAACGAGGACGUGCAGGCCCGUGAGCAUCUCCGUAUCUGUUGGACCCCUCCUGCCUCCAUCUGCAGGACUGGAGCUGGGGGGGUGGGGGUGGGCGGCAGCGUGCUGGGACUCCUCCGUGUCUAGCUUCCAGCACUGGGCACAGAGGCAUCGGGAUGCGAGGGGAGCCCCGGGUUCUGGUCCCGCUCUGCCUCUGACAAUCCUGGGGAAAGCUGAGCGUCACUUUCCCAGCUGUACCACGGAGAGGGCGGUGGGGGGUUUGAUGAUACCUCGGCCCUGUGCCUUGUCCUACCUUCUGCUCCACCUCUGAUAAGCUGGUGCUGCCUUUUCCUCAGCAGGUCUGUUGACAUAAAUGUCACACACCAAACGACUCACCUCUUUAAAGUGUACGACUAGGGAGCUCCCUCCAUGGCUCAGUGGUUAACGUAUCUGACGAGCACCCAUGAGAACGCAGGUCUGAUCCCUGGCCUUGCUCAGUGGGUUAAGGAUCCAGCGUUGCUGUGAGCUGUGGUGUAGGCAGGCGGCUACAGCUCUGAUUCGACCCCUAACCUGGGAACCUCCAUAUGUCACAGGUGCGGCUCUAAAAAGAAAAGAAAACAAAACAAAACAAAGUGCGACUCAGUGAUUUCCGUGUAUGUUCACAGGGCUGUGCAGCCAUGACCACAGUGGAGAGAAUGUCAUUGUCACCCCCCAAAAAGAAGCACACGCUCCCUAGCAGUCUCUCUCUCUGCCCCCCACACCCCUGCCACUCAUCUAUUUUCCGUCUCUAUGGGUUGACCUGUUCUGGACAUUUCAUAGAAAAGGAAUUACGCAAUUUAUGGUCUUUUGUGUCUUCUUUCUUUCAUUCACCAUAAAGUUUCCAAGGUUCUUCUAAGUUGUGUAUUCACUCACUGGCGCUGUGUCCUUUUUAUGGUGAUAGGCUGGUUCUUUGAGGUCCGAGGCCCCUUUCUCUUCUGCUUGAUUAAGCUGCUCCAGGAGAGCUGUGUGUGUGGUCUGGGUCUCCUAGAGGUCCUUUGGUUUCAAUCCUGAUAUUAAAAAUGUCUCUCCAGGGGAGUUCCUGCUGUGGCCCAGUGGGUUAUGAUGCUGACUGCAGCAACUCAGGUUGCUGAAGAGGCAUUCUGACCCCCAGCCAGUGGGUUAAAGGAUCCAGCAUUUCAGCAGCUGUGGCGUAGCGGCAGCUCGGAUUCGACCCCUAGUUUGGGAACUUCCACAUGUUGAGGAAUGCAGCUGUAAAACAAACAAACAAACAAAGAAACAAAAAAAUGGGUCUUUUAAGGACUUCCCGGGUAGCCUAGUGGUUAAAGAUCUGGUGUCGUCACUGCUGUGGUGUGGAUUCAAUCCCUGGCCCAGGAACUUCUGUGUGCCACGGGGUGGCAUAAACAAAUAAGUAAAUAAAAGGUCUCUCCAAGGUCUUGCGGGCUUUCCUGAUGGGGGAGAGUGCUCUUCUUCCUCCUCUCUCCCCUCCUCCAGCCAGGCUGGACAGUCUGUGAUAGAAUAUGUAUCUUGGGAAUCUUUGCAGAAGCCUAUAUUCUCUUCUGUCCUGCAUGUGGAAGAUUAUUCUUUUGUUCUUUCAUUUGUUAAUUUAUCCAUCCAUCCAUCAUCCAUCCAUCACCCAUCCAUCAUCCAUCAUCCAUCCAUCAUCCACCCAUCCAUCCAUCCAUCAUCCAUCAUCCAUCAUCCAUCAUCCAUCCAUCCAUCCAUCAUCCAUCCAUCAUCCACCCAUCCAUCCAUCCAUCAUCCAUCAUCCAUCAUCCAUCAUCCAUCAUCCAUCCAUCCAUCCAUCAUCCAUCACCCAUCCAUCAUCCAUCCAUCAUCCAUCAUCCAUCCAUCAUCCACCCAUCCAUCCAUCCAUCAUCCAUCAUCCAUCAUCCAUCAUCCAUCCAUCCAUCCAUCAUCCAUCCAUCAUCCACCCAUCCAUCCAUCCAUCAUCCAUCAUCCAUCAUCCAUCAUCCAUCAUCCAUCCAUCCAUCCAUCAUCCAUCACCCAUCCAUCAUCCAUCCAUCAUCCAUCAUCCAUCCAUCAUCCACCCAUCCAUCCAUCCAUCAUCCAUCAUCCAUCAUCCAUCCAUCCAUCAUCCAUCAUCCAUCAUCCAUCCAUCACCCAUCCAUCAUCCAUCCAUCAUCCAUCAUCCAUCCAUCAUCCACCCAUCCAUCCAUCCAUCAUCCAUCCAUCCAUCAUCCAUCAUCCAUCCAUCACCCAUCCAUCAUCCAUCCAUCAUCCAUCCAUCAUCCAUCAUCCACCCAUCCAUCCAUCCAUCAUCCAUCCAUCCAUCAUCCAUCAUCCAUCCAUCAAUCAUCCAUCCAUCAUCCAUUCAUCAUCCAUCAUCUGUCCAUCCAUCUAUCAUUCCUCCAUCCAUCAUUCAUCCAUCUAUCCAUCCAUCAUUCAUCCACCCACCCAUUCAUUCAACCUCCAUCUAUCCAUCCAUCAUCUGUUCAUCCAUCCAUCAUCCAUCCAUUAUCCGCCCAUCCAUCUAUCAUUCCUCCAUCCAUCAUUCAUACAUCCAUCAAUCCAUCCAUUUUUAUCUUCAUUCAACACGUAUUUACUGAACACCAACAACAGGGCUGGGGGAAGAAUUGUGGAGGAAACAGACAUGAGGGGAGAGAAGAACAGGUGAUAAAUAGAAACAGGUGAAUGCAAGAAUUCCAACUGGAGUCAGUGAGGAGCCUGCAUAGACAAUGAUGUAGUAGGGGAAAGAGGAUGCGGUGUAGCCAUGGUCGCCCUGCCGCCCUGCCCACCUGAAACUCCACGGCCAGCCUUGACGCCAGCUCUGGUCUGCCUCUGCCCGUCUAUACCCUGCUCCCUUCCCCCCACACCUGCGAGCAAACGUCCUGAGAGCAAAUCACAGUCGUCACCUCACUGGAUCUGUGACUGCUCCAGCAUGGCGCUGAAAAACAAGGAAACCUUGAAAGGUCGACCAUUUCAUUUUAAAAGUCUGCCAUGAUCAUUCCUCCAAGUAAUAAACAGUAAUUCCUU
rnacentral:lncRNA from 1 species